rnacentral:antisense_RNA from 1 species
GGGGCUCCCAGAACCCACUCUCCCCAAAGGCGAGUUUCCCAGGCCCGCGCGGCCGCUACCUGCAGCCCUUGGCCAGGCUCUCCCGCAGCGUCUUGCGCUCCUGCAGACGCCGCUCGUGCUGUUGCUGGAAAGCGAGCUCGCUGUAGACCGGCCGCGACACCACGUAGCUGCAGCUGUACUCGGGGAGCUGCGGCGGCUCCGACCUGCCGCGUGGCGCUGCCAUGACCUGCGAGCCAGAGGACAGCGAGGAGGGAGGAGACGCGGGAAGGAAUAAACUGGACUACAUGGAAAUCAAGACUAGAAGAGAGUGAGGAGGAGCCGGAGCUAUCCUACCUCAUCAGUGUUUUGUCUUCUGUUGGGAUGAACUUUGCUAAAACUAAUGCAUGGUUAAGAUGAAAGGCAGAAGGAAGGGUUUGAUAAACCAGAACAUUCUCGCCUGAUUAUUAGUGUUCUGAAGUAAAUACAGAAGAGGCUCCAAAAUACAGACCUCUGUACAUCAACCUUCUGUAAUCCACCUACCUUACAUAUACAGUCCAUGACAAUUCUACGAGCUCCUGGAAACAGAACUCAGAACUCCUCCCCAGAGAACCCUGAAAUUGUAGUCAGCAUGUGCGUUUUCCUGAGAAGUGAAUGAGUCAACAGCUUUCAACAGAUCUUCAAAGCCUUACUUCACCCAAUGAAGUUAAGAACCAUUAAAGAAGAAA